GAGACGAGGGAAAUUCUUUGUGUAAAUUGAUUAUCAUUGCUGGUCCAGUGCGAAACGCGUAUCUGGAAACGUUCUCGUAGUUUCGCCCUCACGACGCAACAAAAUUUUACGAAGCAAAAACAGCAU